rnacentral:rRNA from 1 species
GACGAACGCUGGCGGCGUGCUUAACACAUGCAAGUCGAACGGAACGGCCAGUGCUUGCACUGGUACUCGAGUGGCGAACGGGUGAGUAACACGUGGGUGAUCUGCCUUGCACUCUGGGAUAAGCUUAGGAAACUGGGUCUAAUACCGGAUAUGAACUGCCUUUAGUGGGUUGGUUGGAAAGUUUUUUCGGUGCAAGAUGAGCUGGCGGCCUCUCAGCUUGUUGGGGGGGUAAUGGCCUACCAAGGCGUCGACGGGUAGCCGGCCUGGGAGGGUGUACGGCCACACUGGGACUGAGAUACGGCACGGCCCCGUACGGGAGGGAGGGGUGCGGAAGGUUGCACUGUGGGCUGAAGCCUAAUCCAGUGAAGCCGCGUGGGGGAUGUCGGCCAUCGGGUUGUAAACUACAUCACACUUGGACGAGGCGUAAGUGACGGUACCUGGAUAAGAAGCACCGGCUAACUACGUG